rnacentral:rRNA from 1 species
UACGUAGGGUGCGAGCGUUGUCCGGAAUUACUGGGCGUAAAGAGCUCGUAGGUGGUUUGUCGCGUUGUUCGUGAAAACUCACAGCUCAACUGUGGGCGUGCGGGCGAUACGGGCAGACUGGAGUACUGCAGGGGAGACUGGAAUUCCUGGUGUAGCGGUGGAAUGCGCAGAUAUCAGGAGGAACACUGGUGGCGAAGGCGGGUCUCUGGGCAGUAACUGACGCUGAGGAGCGAAAGCGUGGGGAGCGAACAGG